rnacentral:miRNA from 1 species
GAGGAAACCAGCAAGUGUUGAC